UACAGAGGUCUCAAGCGUUGUUCGGAUUCAUUGGGCGUAAAGGGUGCGUAGGCGGCGCGGUAAGUCGGGUGUGAAAUCUCGGAGCUUAACUCCGAAACUGCAUUCGAUACUGCCGUGCUUGAGGACUGGAGAGGAGACUGGAAUUUACGGUGUAGCGGUGAAAAUGCGUAGAUAUCGUAAGGAAGACCAGUGGCGAAGGCGGGGUCUCUGGACAGUUCCUGACGCUGAGGCACGAAGGCCAGGGGGAGCAAAACGGG
rnacentral:rRNA from 1 species